rnacentral:rRNA from 1 species
GGCUCAGAUUGAACGCUGGCGGCAUGCCUUACACAUGCAAGUCGAACGGCAGCACGGGAGCAAUCCUGGUGGCGAGUGGCGAACGGGUGAGUAAUAUAUCGGAACGUGCCCGGUCGUGGGGGAUAACGUAGCGAAAGCUACGCUAAUACCGCAUACGAUCUACGGAUGAAAGCGGGGGAUCGCAAGACCUCGCGCGAUUGGAGCGGCCGAUAUCAGAUUAGGUAGUUGGUGAGGUAAAGGCUCACCAAGCCGACGAUCUGUAGCUGGUCUGAGAGGACGACCAGCCACACUGGGACUGAGACACGGCCCAGACUCCUACGGGAGGCAGCAGUGGGGAAUUUUGGACAAUGGACGCAAGUCUGAUCCAGCCAUUCCGCGUGCAGGAAGAAGGCCUUCGGGUUGUAAACUGCUUUUGUACGGAACGAAAAGGCUCUUUCUAAUAAAGAGGGCCCAUGACGGUACCGUAAGAAUAAGCACCGGCUAACUACGUG